rnacentral:lncRNA from 1 species
CUUCCGGAAGUCAGGGCCGCGGCGCUUCUGGUCCCGGAGACUUGGGGCUCCCGGGCUUCUGAGCGGCUCGGGUUCCGCGCUGCCGGCAGGGCUUGGGGGCGCCUUAGAGCCGAACCCCGUUUUUUCAGGAAAGGGCGCUGCGACCACCCCCGUCCCGGGCCUCAGCCCCUCUGCUGCAGACCCUCGGGAUCGUCGCUGGUAGGAGCUCUGUCCCCCGUGUCUGUGUCCAGGACCCCCGAAGCGCCGCGCCUAGGAACCCCCUAGCGCUGGGAGCCCGGCCCUGCUCGACCACGGGCUUUGGGCUGGAGGCGUCAUCGUCGCCACAGCGAACGCUUAUUUGGCACCGAGUGUCCGCCAGGCAUCGCUCUAAGCGCUUUAUACCCAUAACUCACUUCAUCUCAGCCACCCGGUUCCGUAGAAGCGUUUCAUCCGCGUUUUACAGACGUGUGCAGGUGCAGAGAGCUCGGCCAGGCUCAGGCGGCGGGCGGGCUGGGGUGGGCUCCGACCGUCCCUCGGGCGCUCCGUGACACGAAGCCCCGGCCAAGGCCAAGAAGGGGGCCAGCCCCACCCUGAAGCGGGAUGAGUUCUGGUUCCUCCCAGGGACCCCCUCACUCCCUACUGCUCACUCUCAGUUUCUCCAAGCUGGAAGGUUUUUUGUUUUGUUUUGUUUGAGACGGAGUCUUGCUGUGUCACCCAGGCUGGAGUGCAGUGGCGCGAUCUCGGCUCACUGCAGCCUCCGCCUCCCUGGUUCAAGCAAUUCUCCUGCCUCAGCCUCCUGUGUAGCUGGGAUUACAGGCGUGCGCCACCAGGCCCGGCUAACUUUUUAAAUUUUUAGUAGAGAUGGGGUUUCACCAUGUCGGUCAGGCUGGUCUUGAACUCCUGACCUCAGGUGAUCUGCCUUCCUCGGCCUCCCAAAGUGCUGGGAUUACAGGCGUGAGCCACCGCGCCCCGCUGCUGGAAGUUUUAUUGGUAGGGUCGGACAUCUUGGUAGCAGAGGCUGAAAGUGAUUGGAGCCUCCAGAGCCUUCCUCGGGGUGGGGCGUUUAACAUCCCUUCAGAACCCCACCCUCGGAGGCCUUACUGUCGUUUCCUGACAACCAUGUCAAGGCCGUAUUUUCUGUCUAUAUUACCAGAAAGGGGUCCCGAUCCAGACCCCAAGAGAGAAUUGAGGGCGAGUCCACAAAGUGAAAGCAAGUUUAUUAGAAAAGUAAAGGAAUUGAGGCAGGAAAACAGGGUCUGGAGGCAGGGAACACUUCAGCUAUGACAGGAAAUACCCUCUCCAUAGGGUGUACACUGAGUAAAUGAUUUUGUAACUUUAUUUCAUCCUCUUUAUUUACAUAGGGCGUACACCAAGUAACCAGUAGAAACCCCUAGAGGGUAUUUAAACCUCACAAGUUCUGUAAUGGGGCCCUGAGCCUCUAUGCUUUGGCCGCCCCCACACCAUGGAAUGUACUUUCAUUUUCAAAAAAUUUCUGCUUUUGUUGCUUCAUUCUUUUUUUGCUUUGUGCAUUUUUUUUUUUUUGAGACAGAGUCUCUGUUGUCCAUGCUGGAGUGCAGUGGCGUGAUCCUCACUGCAACCUCUGCCUCCCGGGUUCAAGCAAUUCUCCUGCCUCAGCCUCCUGAGUAGCUGAGAUUACAGACGUGCGUCACCAUGCCCGGCUAACUUUUGUGUUUUUAGUAGAGACGAGGUUUCGCCAUGUUGGCCAGGCUGGUCUUGAACUCCUGACCUCAGGUGAUCUGCCCGCCUCGGCCUCCCAAAGUGCUGGGAUUAUAGGUGUGAGCCACCGCGCCCGGUGGCUUUGUGCAUUUUGUCCAAUUCUUUGUUCAAGAUGCCAAGAACCUGGACACCCUCCACCAGUAACAGAAUAAAGAAUGGCUACUCCAUAGGCAGAGCAGCAUGGGCUGCUGGUUGCCCAUUUUUGUGGUUAUUUCUUGAUGAUAUGCUAAACAAGGGGUGGAUUAUUCGUGCCUUACCUUUUUAAACCCUUUAGGGUAACGUCCUGGCAUUGCUAUGGCAUUUGUAAACUUACGGCGCUGGUGGGAGUGUAGCAGCUGGGACGACCAGAGGUCACACUCAUCGCCAUGUUGGUUUGGUGGGUUUUGGUCAGCUUCUUUACUGCAAACUGUUUUAUCAGUAAGGUCUUUAUGACCUGUAGCUUGUGCCGACCUCUUAUCUCAUCCUGUGACAUAGAAUGCCUUAACUGUCUGGGAAUGCAGCCCAGCAGAUCUCAGCCUCAUUUUACCCAGCCCCUAUUCAAGAUGAAGUUGCUCUGGUUCAAACACCUCUGACAUUUACACCACUGAAGCUCCAAGGAAGAUCUUGACUCCCUCUUCUCACCAUUUGAUGACUUCGUAUCCAAUCCAAGUCAAGUCAAAUGAAGCAUGCUCCUUCCAAUGAUGAUUUCUGGAGGCCUAAAAUAAAAAGCAUGCAUACAGAAAAUGAUCAAAAUAGACAUAAAUCAAGGGGAAAUUCAUUUUUGAGCAUUCUUGCAGCCAGUACACAAAAGGAGAGAUGAUGAGUUUCAUGGUUCUAAUACUCAAAAAACAGGAAGCAUAUCAACUUCCCAGGAAAGUCUAAGUUUCUGUCGGCUCUAAAUUUAAACACACAUCCACCCACACAUACCCCACAAGCAAAUUGCCAGUGGAUUGCUUUGCCAUCUGAAAUCUUCAAAAGGUUCACUCGCUUUUAUUCACCUGUUUGUGUAUUCUCCCUCUCUGUAGGCAAAUAGAUACAAGAAAUCUGAUCCUGUCCUCUCAAAGAAAACCCUCUGAAAUAAACUUAUCACCUUUAAAAAAGGGAUGUUGAAGAACAAGAUGGAUUUUUGUUGUUGUUGUCGUUUUUUGAGAUGGAGUCUCGCUCUUGUCGUCCAGGCCGGAAUGCGGUGGUGCGAUCUCGGCUCACUGCAACCUCCGCCUCCCAGGUUUAAGCGAUUCCCCUACCUCAGCCUCAUGAGUAGCUAGGAUUAUAGGCACCUGCCACCACGCCCGGCUAAUUUUUGUAUUUUUAGUAGAGACUGGGUUUCGCCAUGUUGGCCAGGCUGGUCUCAAUCUCCUGACCUCAGGUGAUCUGCCCGCCUCGGCCUCCCAAAGUGCUGGGAUUACAGACGUGAGCACCCAGCCUGGAUGUUGUUUUUGAUGACACUGCUAAGCACUUAUGUGAGGGAUUGUUUGGGUGGUUUGGGUCUAGAUCUAAGAUAAAGACAGUAGGAAAGAAAUGAGAGGUGGAAGGUUGUCCUAGGCUGAGGUGGUGGUCCAGGGACUUUCUGGCAGCCUGGAUGGAUGCCUGGGCAGAAUUUAUAUAUCUAGAAGAAUGGAAGAGGACCUCAUUGCAUGCCAUUGACUGUUCUCCAGUACCCAAGGGUAAAGGAACUGGAAAGAAAGACUCACUCAAGUGCAUUCACAUAAAAUGGGAAUCUAAUAGUAAUGGUGCCAAUUGUGGGGCAAAGAGUUCAAGGAGUUAUUUUGAAAAAUGAAAAAAAAAGCAAAGUAUCUUAAAUUUGUCUUAUAUUCAAUAAAUUGUCGGUGAUAAUGCUAUGGUGUGUGCAUUUGUAGAACCAACAAAGACUUAGUCAAGUGCCGAUUUGGUAGGAUUGUAAUUUUUCCGACAAAUUGUAUGAUCGCUACACACGUUAUCCUUCCCAUUGUGUGUGAUUUUCCCAGCUCCAGGAUGAAGAGGAUUGGUUUUACAAAAAUGGGCAAGGACACCAUCAAUUUCCCCACAAGUCUCUCUCUCUCUCUUUUUUUUUUUUUUUUUUUUAGACAGAAUUUCACUGUGUCGCUAGGCUGGAGUGCAGUGGCAAGAUCUUGGCUCACUGCAAUCUCCACCCUCCAGGUUCAAGCGAUUCUCCUGCCUCAGCCUCCUGAGUAGCUGGGAUUACAGGCACCCACCACCACGCCUGGCUAAUUUUUGCAUUUUUAGUAGCGACGAGGUUUCACCAUGUUGGCCAGGCUGGUCUUGAUCUCUUGACCUUGCGACCCGCCCGCCUUGGCCUCCCAAACUGCUGGGAUUACAGGCGUGAGCCACCGCACCUGGCCACGUCUCUCUUCAUCGUUUAAUAGUCUCACCCUUUCUUGUUGAAGGACCAUCCGGCCAUUAGCCAUGGGCGUGGCCUCACUCUCAGCCGCCUGACUGUGUAGCUUUGCCAGGGCCUCCCACACUGACCCACUGCUUUGGUCUCCAUCUGAGCAUCCCUGGCAUCCCAUUUGUGGGCUUCCUGAAACCGUUUUUUUUUUUUUUUUUUUUUUUUGAGAUGGAGUUUUGCUCUUGUUGCCCAAGCUGGAGUGUAAUGGUGCAAUCUCGGCUCAUUACAACCUCCGCCUCCCAGGUUCAAACAAUUCUCCUGCCUCAGCCUCCCAAGUAGCUGGAAUUACAGGCAUGCACCACCACGCCUGGCUAAUUUUGUGUUUUUAGUAGAGAUGGAGUCUCUCUAUGUUGGUCAGGCUGGUCACGAACUCCUGACAGGUGAUCCGCCCACCUUGGCCUCCCAAAGUGUUGGGAUUACAGGCGUGAGGCACUGUGCCUGGCCUAGAUUCCUGAAACCUUAUGUCUCUUGGAAGAUAGACGGUUUGGCUUUGCAGCUGAUGUGCUUUGUAUUUCCACAGCCUCACGACACGCUCUCCCAUCCUCUCAACAGGAAAGAUUCUGAAGCUUGGCGGAGAGGGGUGUGUGAGUGGACACCAGUGAAGUAACGGUUUUUGUGUUACGAUGAUUUCUGUUUUCCUCUGCUGCCCUGUAAUGGCAGGAACUCGGAUAGUCUGGUCUUCAGACCAGGAGGACUCCCAGGAGAGAACGGAGAGCCAGUGUGCUGUGUGUCACGGUCCCUGGAUGAACGUUUGUGGAACUGGAUUGAAUUAAACAAGACGUGCAAAGCAAGUGGUUCACGAGGUAGUGUGGGGGUGUAGGGAUGGGGACUGACCCGGGAGGCAGGACACAGCCCAAGCCCUGCCUUGGCCUCACCUCUAACUUGCUGAUGACCUUGGAUGAUUCCCUUCCCAUCCUGGGCCUCUGUUUUCUCAUCUGUAAAAUGGGCAGAUUGGCAAUGUGGCCUCCAGGUCUGUACUUCUGUGAUUGCUGUGUUUCCUGGGGGGUUCCUAUCUACUCUCAAGACUCUCGAACUGGGGUGGGGAAUGUGGGAUCAAGGAGGAAGGGGUGGCCCGGUGGUCCUGCCUGUGGAAGGUAGGGAGUGUGGUAGGGUGGGAAGGUGGGAAGGGCCUCACUGCCCGAAGGUCCUGUCUGUGUCUGUGGGUUAGUCUAGAGGCCUGACUGCAUGGCGGGCUGGAGCAGGCAGACUGGACACAGCACGAGCACUUUCUGAAUGCCGGAACUUUCCGAGGCCUUCCAUGGCAGGUGGGGAGAGCCCUGCCCCAGAGGAACUGAGCCCUGGGCCUGUGGGGCUUUGCAUCAGAGAUUUCUGCAUUUGGGAGGCUGCACUCAGACUGUGAAAGGCUUUUGCAAACCCAAACGGCUGUCAUUCUGUAAGUCAAGUUACAACUGAUAGCCACAGGGGAUACUGCUCAAUGCACCUCUGACAGCUAACAAAAAACAGAAUGCAAAUUCAAGCUAAAGAUAAGGCUGGGCGUGGUGGCCCACGCCUGCAGACGUAGCUACUUGGGAGGCUGAGUUGGGAGGAUCACUUGAAGCCAGGAGUUUGAGGCCACCCUGGGCAACAUAGCAAGACCCUGUCUCUACAAAAAAUAAAUAAAUCAGCUGGGCGUGGUGAGAUGCACCUGUAAUUCCAGCUACUUGGGAGGCUGAGGUAAGAGGAUCGCUUAAGCCCAGGGGUCCGAGGCUGCAGCGAGCUAUGAUCAUGCCACUGCACUCCAGCCUGGGUGACAGGAAAGUAAAGGAAUAAAAGGGUGGCUACUCCCAUAGGCAGAGCUUCCCUGGGUGCUGCUGACUGGCUAUUGUUAGGGUUAUUUCUUGAUCACAUGCUAUACAAAGGGCUGAAUUAUUCAUGCAUUUUCUGGAAAAGAGGUGAGGAAUUCCAAGAACUGAGGCUUCCUCACCUUUUUAGACCAUGUUGGGUAACUUUUCGACGUUGCCAUGGCAUUUGUAAACGGUCAUGGCACUGGUGGAAGUGUCUUUUCACAUGUUAAUGGAUUAUAAUUAGCAUGUAAUGAGCAGUGAGGACGACCAGAGGUCGCUUUCCUCGCCAUCUUGGAUUUGGUGGGUUUCGGCUGGCUUCUCUACCACACUCUGUUUUAUCAGUGGGGUCUUUGUGACCUGUGUCUUCUGAAACCCGUCCUGCUACCUCCUAUCUCAGAGUCAUGUAGUGUGUGUAGCCUUUCCUGAUUGGCUUCUCCUAUUGAAGAUACUAAUUCAACCAGGUUGUUGCCCACAUCAGUAAUUAAUCUCUUUUUUUUUGCUGGGUAGUAUAGUCUAUUGUCUGGAUGCACCACCGUUUAUUUAUCCAUUCUUCUAUUGAAGACAUUUGGGUUAUAUCCAGCUUGGUCCACUAUGAAUAAAGCCACCAUUGACCUUCAUGUACAGGUGUUUGCGAGAACAUAAAUGUUCACUUCUCUUGGGAAAUACUUGGGAGUGGGAUUGCUAAGUAGCAUGGCAGAUACGUGCUUAAUUCUAGAAGCUUCCAAGCUGCUCUCCAAAGUGUCUGCACCACUGUGCAUUCCCUCCAGCAGUGCAGGCACGUCUCAGUUGCUCUGUAUUCCUGCCGAACAGACAUCUGUCCAUCCAUCCACCCAUCCAUCCAUCCGCUCAUCCAUCCAUCCAUCCAUCCAUCCAUCCACUCAUCCAUCCAUCCACCCACCCAUCCAUCCGCUCAUCCAUCCAUCCAUCCGUCCAUUCAUCCAUCCACUCACCCAUGCAUUCAGUCAUCUAUCCAUCCAUUCACCCAUCUAUCCAUCCACCCACCCAUCCAUCCACUCAUCCAUCCACCCAUCCAUCCAUCCACCCACCCAUCCACUCAUCCAUCCAUCCACCCACCCAUCCAUCCAUUCAGUCAUCUAUCCAUCCAUUCACCCAUCUAUCCAUCCACCCACCCAUCCAUCCACUCAUCCAUCCACCCAUCCAUCCAUCCACCCACCCAUCCAUCUGCUCACCCGUCCAUCCAUCCAUCCAUCCAUCUACCCACCCAUCCAUCCAUUCAUCCACCCAUCCAUCCACUCAUCCAUCCAUCCACCUACCCAUCUGUCCACUCAUCCA